UUAACUGGAGAUCCCGGUCAUUACGGUUGAUUAACUGGAGAUCCCGGUCAUUAUGGUACGCAUGUGAACAUAUGGGUAUAUCUUAAUGUAAUAUCAGUACCUAUGGACAAAAUGAUGAACAACUAUAUGCGAAAAUUGUCGCGUAGGCCUCAUUAUCGACAUUGUUUAACUAAACACAGCACGCGUAUUCUGUCAGACGGGUAGGAAGUUGGGGGUCACGUGACCACUCUUUCGUGUCUAAAACAAAAUGACCGCCCAAUCGAAAAGGUCAUUUUUGCCAUGUCUUACAGAAUUGUCCACUAUUUAGUGCUUGCAGAAAUUAUUAAGAUGUGCAGUUAUCGUAAUUAUGUUAAGCGUUGUAACUCGCUGUAUUCUACGGUACAUGCUUUAGGCUGUAUCAUCUGUGGUUCCACAUACAUAUAUUGUGUAAUUAUUUAAAAGUACAUGCAAAAAUGUACAGUGUAGGCGUACGCCUUAAUCAUACAAACCUAACCGCCUUGAUGAUACUGGGGGGUAUCACCCCACCCCCAUCCCCUCACCCGAUCCCCUUCAGACAACACACUCCCCCAUCCUCUAACGUUACGCACUGUUAGGACGGUUGUGCUGCCCGUGCUGACAGGAAAUCUUGUUUGAUAAGGUUUUACACAAGGUCAUCUGAGACAGUCUGUGCCCUACAAGUGCAAGUCUGCGCCCUACAUGUGCAACUCCUGCCCGUGUUACGUAAACUUAUCAACAUUCAGCUUCAAACAACAACCACAACCGCCAUUUGCAGAACUGAAGCAAAAACCAGUGCAUCGCUUUGUUUUUUCGAGUUGUUUGUCAUAUUACGACCUAUUUUCCAUGUCGUCCUAACUAUGACGCACCCAGUGGAUGCUGUAUGCUUGGAUGUGUGGACCAGGGGCAACCUGAAUGCUUUCAGAAGAUCAUUAAGUGAAUAACCGAAAGCUGAAUUGAUGUUAUGGCCAGCCAUCUUUAGGAACUACCAGUAACAGAAGUAAAUUCAUGAGCACAAGGACAGCCCUUCCAAGUUCCCGGAAACCAAAAAGUUAGCAAAAAUGUUACUGUCCACAUAACGCCCACACGGUGUGCUGAUGAUGCAUUCCCUUUUGGGGGCGGCUGAAAGCCUUGGGGCUCUUUCUCUUGGUGUGUCUCUACGUGGGCCUGGUGCUUUUCUCCCUCUUCAACUAUCGAAGCCGAUGUAAAACCUCCAUGCCCUACCACAGCAUUACACAAGGCUUAAAAGCGGACCAGGCGAACAUGGGCAAAUGCUUGGUGGACCUGGACUCUUUAGGGUUGGCAAAGAUCAAUAUUUUCCAUUCUCCGCCAUUUUAUGCAAUAGAACACAAUAACCCAGAUGUAAAAGAAGGCGGUACCUGGCAACCAUCCAACUGUGAAUCUCUGCAGAGGGUGGCAAUAAUUGUUCCUUACCGAGACCGUGAGCAGCACCUUCGGAUUCUGUUGAAUCGCCUUCAUCCAAUGUUACAGAAACAGAGGAUUCACUACCGAAUAUUUGUAAUCGAGCAGUUUGGCAACGAUCUCUUCAAUAGAGGAAAGCUGAUGAACGUUGGUUUCAAAGAAGCCCUGAAAGUAGGACACUUCGACUGUUUUAUUUUCCAUGACACUGAUCUCAUUCCUGAAAAUGACAAAAACCUUUAUCUCUGUGAUCAAGACGCCCGUCAUUUAUCUUCUGCCAUUGAUGAAAUGAGAUACCAUGUGAUGUACUAUAACUAUGCUGGAGGAGUAAUUGCCAUGAAUCAAAAGAAUUUUAUAAAAAUUAACGGGUAUUCCAAUAUGUAUUGGGGUUGGGGAAACGAAGACGAUGAUCUAUCAGCAAGAACUCAAGAAAAGGGAUUGCUUCUGACACGACCUCCCGAGCACAUAGGCCGGUUUAAGAUGGUCCGUCAUACCAAAGCUUCCAGGGCCGAGCACGGGAACGAGCUGUUUCUAGGCUGGCGUGGUCGUUGGUAUCAUGACGGUCUGAAUGGUAUGAACUACACCGUGAUCAAGCAGACAAACCUAAAGCUGUACACGAACGUCACGGUGAACCUGGGCCCAUCCGACAACCAUAUGAUAGACCCCACCAAAGACACGACAAGGGAGACACUCUGGUGACUUUCAGUUCGUACACAAUUGGAGAUGAGCUAAUAUGUCAUUGUCCGCCCGUAUCGAAAAACCGGGUCUCUUUCAACAAAUAAAUGAUGAAAUACACAACUUGAGAUGUGAAUGGUUAAAGAGCAUCGCCAAAGAAUUUGGGUUUUUGAAGUUCUAUUAUCCGUGAGCGCGAAGUGUAAUUUCAAUCCGUGUCCGAAGGUAUUCUUGUGAUCGCCCAGUGAUAAAACAGGGUUUGUGUGUGGGAGAAAACGUCAUCGCUUUCUGUGUAAAGCGUCGUCAUUGCGUCAAGCGUCAUCAUUUGUUGGAUAUCACGUUUUCCGACAUGUAGGAAUCGAGCUGAAUACGGAUCGGCUAUUUUUAUGAGCGAAUGUCAAAAUAUAUGGAAGUUUUACUGGCGUUGUAAAAGUGGAAGACUUAAUAUAUUAUUUUGACUUAUGGACAGAAACAUAUGGGCAUCCUAUUUGUAACAGAUAUGCAUUUUAUAUGGUAUGCCUGCCGAAACAGAACUGUCAUUAUUAAGUAUAUAUUAUAGUGUUUAUUUUACACAAACACAGAACAUUUUGUUCAGAUUCUUUUGGCCUGUUGAAAGUCUUCAAAAAACCUUUGGAUGGGCUUGGGAUUAUCCUGGGCUCUGUCCAGUUUCCCGCCACCUUAAUGGAUGCCGCUGUUGUAUAAGGGCGAUAUUCUUGAGUCAGAACAAUUAAAUAAAUUAAUUAAUUAUGGCUGAGCCAAAGAUGAAAAGUGUCUAGUCGAGAAAAUCUAGUCUUCUCUGUUUCUCUUUUCUCUCCAGAUUCUUGAGUACGUCGUAAAACGUCAGCCAAAUAAAUAAAUAGGUCAUCCAAACUUGUAUUUCUCAUCACAAAUCUUCCGUGACAUGGUCAUACUAUGUUUCUAAAUAUAUGUUCUGAUUCCAACCCUAAGUUGUACAUUAAAAGCAGGCACUCGGAUUGGUCAGCCUCCUGGCACCAGUACUUCAUUGGCUUUAUGUAUGUAAAGUAUAUAUUCCACAUCGUUUUUUUGUGGGUUCGGUUUGACGAUACAUUUACAUAGUGGACACGUUCACAUAAUUUACUUCAAUAUUGUUUAAUAUGAUAUCUGGCCAUCGCCAUUUUUCUGGAUUCAUGGGCAAGUGGGUCCGAUAUGACAAUACAUUUACACAGUGGACACGUCCACCUAAUUUACUCCCAUCGCUUUUUCUUUGGGUCCGAAGAUCGGAUGGUCUGAUUAGAUUAUAUCUUAAUAACUAUACUUGGCACUGAAUCAUUAAUCUGUUAGGCUACAUUGAAAAGCCCCCAGUUCAAGCUCGAACUAGUUAAAAAAAAAAAAAAAAUCAGCUGGAUCUGGAUUACGUUGUGAAUUUACUUGAAUAUACACGACUGAUAGGCUGUAUUAUUUAGCCAAAACAAGCAUUGAUUGGCCUCGUAAUCUUUGAUUAUGAUUCAUUUUUUAUUAAAACAGCGCAUGCUUAAAUUAUGGUCGUAUUUAUCGCUAUGUUAAAACGGAUGUUCAUAGAUCAUGUUUUCAUUUACACAUGUUAUUUGGCAAAUAAACUUAUUUUAGAAGCUGCAAAAGAAUUUGUUUUCUGGUUUAUUCGUGACAAAUACUUGUUUCGAAAGAUUUCACUAUGAAAUUAUGCUUUUCCUA